rnacentral:rRNA from 1 species
GUGGCGAACGGGUGAGUAAUAUAUCGGAACGUGCCCUGUAGUGGGGGAUACCUAGUCGAAAGAUUAGCUUAAUACCGCAUACGACCUAAGGGUGAAAGUGGGGGACCGCAAGGCCUCACGCUAUAGGGGCGGCCGAUAUCUGAUUAGCUAGUUGGUGGGGUAAAGGCCUACCAAGGCGACGAUCAGUAGCUGGUCUGAGAGGACGUUCAGCCACCUGGGACUGAGCCCCGGCCCAGACUCCUACGGGAGGCAGCAGUGGGGAAUUUUGGACAAUGGGCGAAAGCCCGAUCCAGCAAUGCCGCGUGUGUGAAGAAGGCCCUCGGGUUGUAAAGCACUUUUGUCCGGAAAGAAAUCCCUUGGGAUAAUACCUCGGGGGGAUGACGGU